AUGUGAUUUAAUAGUUUAUAGUAUCAUUAUAUUUUGGAAAUGCUGUAGGGUCCAAAACUAUUAUCUAAGCUUUUUUUGCAUUGAUGGCAUGCCACACAGCAUGAGAGGAUUGGUGCUUUAUAACACAAUACCUUGUGAAUGACACCCUCCUCAUGAAUCACACUCCUUGUUUUAAAGGAUGGGCUGUGUACCUACCUAAGUAGCCUGCUUAAGUGGGUCAGGCACCCGGGUGCCUCAUCUAGCCUUGGGCAGCCCAAAUAGGCGACCCGUCACAAAUCUUGUGCUUGGGCAUGCAUCCAUGCCUUAGGUGAAGACCAUGAAGCUAAUGCCUCUAGUGUUUUGGAUUAGGUUGAACCUAGUUGGAUAUUCAUAACCCCAAACCUAAUCCAUGAAGUUAUAAUGUUAAACCAAUAUUAUCUAUUUUCCGUGCCCCGACGUUAGAUAUCAAGAGUGGAGAGGGAUUGAGGAGAGAAGAAAGGAGAAUGACAAUAUUGUGCUUGGCAGUUGGUAGUGCAUUUGCUUAGUGGAAUGGUGGUUAUGGUAGUUGGCAACUUUGUUGUGGUAUUUUCUUUUCUUCUCACUACUAUUUCCUGUAAUCUUUACUUUCUCCACAAUUUUGUGGCGAAGGUUAUGGUUUGGCUAUUGGUGAGCGGCCAUUAGUGCAAGGAAAUGUUUGGGUAUUAGGGUUUAAGCCUUAUGCGCUUACUCCUAUUUGAUUAAUGUAAUUGUAUAGAAGUGAAGAAAUGCCAUGAAAAACCUGGUUCUAUAUUUAGCAUGAUGUUAAGGUUGUCAAUUUCACUUCAUUUAUUACAUUCAAUUAAAAUUCUAUGAACAACCUGUCAUCAAAUUAAAGAAUGACAUCGAGGAUGUGAUAACUAUUAAGUCAAUAUUUUUUAUCUUUCAUUUCAUCUUUUGAUAGUGUUAACUGGCACAAUCCAAACAAAUCAGUAGAAGAUUGUAGAGUGUUAACUGAUACAACCCAAACAAAGAACUACAGGAUUAUUGAAGACCAAAGUUCAUAUUUCAUUUUAAAGGUAUUAAUAGAACUAGUGGCCUAUGGAGAUUUUGCUAAAAAAAAUGUACAAAUAUCGCAAAUCAUUUUCAUAUCUUAUGAAGGUUUUGAAAUUUUUAGUAUUUGCUGUUGGGUGAGUAAUGUGAAGUUUAGACUUGAACUUGGGUUUUAAGAUGUAGGUUAGGCUCUAACUAAGUUUUUCCAUUUUUGACAAUUCUUAUGUUAGACAAAUAGGAACUUUCUCAUUCACAUGUGGAUUUCAAAAGAAGGCUUGUAAAUGAAAGUGAAUCUCUCUCAUGUUGGUUGACUUCUAUGUUCUACUUUGUUAACAAUUCUAUGCAAAUGUUUGUGUCAAAGAUUCUUAGGCAAUUUUAAGAUCGUCUUUAACCAUGGUUAAUUGGUUAUGAUUUCAUAGUUAGGAUCCACAAGCUACAAUUCUUUCCAUGGAUUUCUUGGUUUGAGUUAAUGUUUCACAUGUCCAUAUGAGGAGUGAUUCAAAACCAAUGAGCUCUAUAAUGGCGAGAAGUUUUUGAUGGAAAAUGAUGAGUCAUAUAUAGAUGAAAUUGUGGAUAUCAAGAUGAACAUGCCUAAUGGUAUUAUGUGAGCAUUUUCUUAGGUUACACAUGUAUUGAAGCUUAAAAAAAUAAUUUUGCUAGCUGUAUUGGACUCUUGAGAAUUUUGAUUACAUAGCAAAAUGUGAACUAUUAAAAGUUGCUAAGGGUUCAGAGGUGUUGAUGAAAAAGCAAAAGCAUGCUUGAGUUAAGAUGAGCAGAAGUGAAUAUCCAAAUAGGGGAUAUAGUACUAUUCAAGGAUUACAUAAUCGCCCCGAACUCCUUAAUUUGGAGCAUACCACCAAUAUUGGUGGUAGAUCGGGAUCGUUUCGGUAUUCGAAACGAGAAACUAGUGCAAAGGAGGGGGAGGGAAGAAGAGGGAGAGGGA
rnacentral:lncRNA from 1 species